rnacentral:rRNA from 1 species
CCUACGGGUGGCAGCAGUAGGGAAUAUUGCUCAAUGGGGGAAACCCUGAAGCAGCAACGCCGCGUGGAGGAUGAAGGUUUUAGGAUUGUAAACUCCUUUUGUGAGAGAAGAUAAUGACGGUAUCUCACGAAUAAGCACCGGCUAACUCCGUGCCAGCAGCCGCGGUAAUACGGAGGGUGCAGGCGUUACUCGGAAUUACUGGGCGUAAAGAGUGCGCAGGCGGGCUUGUAAGUCUGCUGUGAAAUCUUGUAGCUUAACCCCAGACGUGCAGUGGAAACUAUGGUGCUUGAGUGUGGGGAAGGUAGGUGGAAUUCGUGGUGUAGGGGUGAAAUCCUUAGAUAUGAAGAAGAAUACUGAUUGCGAAGGCAGCCUGCUGCAGCGUAACUGACGCUGAUGCACGAAAGCGCGGGGAGCGAACAGGAUUAGAUACCCCAGUAGUC